rnacentral:lncRNA from 1 species
UGAUUGUGUUAAGCUAAUUAAAUCUAAAGCAUUAUCAUGAAGUAUGUUUUAAAUAUGCAUGUUUUCUACUUCAUGCAACUUAGUUAUGCAUUAGUUCUAGAACACAAUCUAUUUUAUAUUGCAUAUACUCCAAGUUUUGUCAUCAUCAAAAAGGAGGAGAUUGCUGACCCAAAGAUUGAUUUUGAUGAUCACAAAACCUUGAAGUAUAAUUACUAAUGUUUGUGUUACAAGAAGAAAGAU